rnacentral:rRNA from 1 species
CCUACGGGAGGCAGCAGUGAGGAAUAUUGGUCAAUGGGCGGAAGCCUGAACCAGCCAAGUAGCGUGCAGGAUGACGGCCCUACGGGUUGUAAACUGCUUUUAUAAAGGAAUAAAGUGAGGCACGUGUGCCUUUUUGUAUGUACUUUAUGAAUAAGGAUCGGCUAACUCCGUGCCAGCAGCCGCGGUAAUACGGAGGAUCCGAGCGUUAUCCGGAUUUAUUGGGUUUAAAGGGAGCGUAGAUGGGUUGUUAAGUCAGUUGUGAAAGUUUGCGGCUCAACCGUAAAAUUGCAAUUGAUACUGGCAGCCUUGAGUACAGUUGAGGUAGGCGGAAUUCGUGGUGUAGCGGUGAAAUGCUUAGAUAUCACGAAGAACUCCGAUUGCGAAGGCAGCUUACUAAACUGCCACUGACAUUGAUGCUCGAAAGUGUGGGUAUCAAACAGGAUUAGAUACCCUGGUAGUC